rnacentral:rRNA from 1 species
UACGUAGGUGGCAAGCGUUGUCCGGAUUUACUGGGCGUAAAGAGCGCGCAGGCGGUCGUUCAAGUCGCGUGUGAAAGCCCCCGGCUCAACUGGGGAGGGUCACGCGAUACUGAUCGACUGGAAGGCAGGAGAGGGUAGUGGAAUUCCCGGUGUAGUGGUGAAAUGCGUAGAUAGUCGGGGGAACACCAGUGGCGAAGGCGACUACCUGGCCUGUUCUUGACGCUGAGGCGCGAAAGCUAGGGGAGCAAACGGGG